rnacentral:rRNA from 1 species
AGAUUGAACGCUGGCGGCAGGCCUAACACAUGCAAGUCGAGCGGUAGAGAGGUGCUUGCAUCUCUUGAGAGCGGCGGACGGGUGAGUAAUGCCUAGGAAUCUGCCUAGUGGUGGGGGAUAACGUUCGGAAACGGACGCUAAUACCGCAUACGUCCUACGGGAGAAAGCGGGGGACCUUCGGGCCUCGCGCCAUUAGAUGAGCCUAGGUCGGAUUAGGCUAGUUGGUGAGGUAAUGGCUCACCAAGGCGACGAUCCCGUAACUGGUCUGAAGGAGGAUGAU